rnacentral:rRNA from 1 species
UACGUAGGGACCGAGCGUUGUCCGGAUUCAUUGGGCGUAAAGAGCUCGUAGGCGGCCACUCAAGUCGAAUGUGAAACCUCGAGGCUUAACCUCGAGCCUGCAUUCGAUACUGGGCGGCUAGAGUCUGGUAGGGGGGAUCUGGAAUUCCUGGUGUAGCGGUGGAAUGCGCAGAUAUCAGGAGGAACACCGGUGGUGUAGACGGCUUUCUGGACCGUAACUGACGCUGAGACACGAAAGCGUGGGUAGCAAACAGG